UGAAGAGUUUGAUCAUGGCUCAGAUUGAACGCUGGCGGCAGGCCUAACACAUGCAAGUCGAACGGUAACAGGAAGCAGCUUGCUGCUUUGCUGACGAGUGGCGGACGGGUGAGUAAUGUCUGGGAAACUGCCUGAUGGAGGGGGAUAACUACUGGAAACGGUGGCUAAUACCGCAUAACGUCGCAAGACCAAAGAGGGGGACCUUCGGGCCUCUUGCCAUCAGAUGUGCCCAGAUGGGAUUAGCUUGUUGGUGAGGUAACGGCUCACCAAGGCGACGAUCCCUAGCUGGUCUGAGAGGAUGACCAGCCACACUGGAACUGAGACACGGUCCAGACUCCUACGGGAGGCAGCAGUGGGGAAUAUUGCACAAUGGGCGCAAGCCUGAUGCAGCCAUGCCGCGUGUAUGAAGAAGGCCUUCGGGUUGUAAAGUACUUUCAGCGGGGAGGAAGGUGUUGUGGUUAAUAACCGCAGCAAUUGACGUUACCCGCAGAAGAAGCACCGGCUAACUCCGUGCCAGCAGCCGCGGUAAUACGGAGGGUGCAAGCGUUAAUCGGAAUUACUGGGCGUAAAGCGCACGCAGGCGGUCUGUCAAGUCGGAUGUGAAAUCCCCGGGCUCAACCUGGGAACUGC
rnacentral:rRNA from 1 species